CAUCCUGUUUGUCAUUGCUUAUCUAGUUAGAAGCUAGAGGGAGCAACUCAGAACCAUUCUAUAAUGUUAUAAAGUUACUCAGAGCUUGAUAAUGGUCUAACGUAAAUCUAAUGUUAAUCCUUCUCACAGAUACCCACCAAGGCAGAAUAUGGCCACUUGGAAGUAAGCUUACCUUUCCUAAAGGAUCUAAUGGCUACUGGAGCAGGCAGCUUUCGUUCAUGAAGAUACGGUGAAAAGGAGUAAGGAGAAGUUUGAGAGAGUCAGCCUGUCCAUGGAACUUGUAAUGACUCAGCGCUGAUCUAUGCCAGAUGUAAAAUCCCUGCUGUCAUUGGUGAGGCUACCACUGCUAUUGAAAAUAUGUGAACGUACUGUAGAUCAAGUAAGGUUCCAGUCUAAGUCAAAGUGGAUAUAUGCAGAGAAACAGAAGUUGAAGAGGGGGAAAACAGAAGCCUCCACUGCUGUUUACCUUUACUUAGCACACUCUCCUGAAGAAUAUGUUGGAUUUCUGCCAGUUUUUGAAAUUGAACUUUGGUGCCUUUUGCCUUUUUAAUGGCUCGUCUCAUGAUUGGAAGAAUUGGAGUGUAUUUUCUGAUUGAUUGAUUGAUUGAUUGGUGAGGUAAUGAACAUUGUAACAAUAUAUUGUACAUUUUUACAGGCUUGCUAAUAUUUCCCAAAGGCUUGCACAUUGUUUUCUGAGAUACUACUCUAAAAUGUCGCUAUAUGGCUCAUUACAUCACACUUAAAGACAUAUCGUUCACUCAAUUCUAUGGUGUAUGCACUGUGAAUGAGAUCUAAGAUCAUAGCUAAGUUACUGCAAGGACUUUUUUAAUUUUGCAACGUGUAAUGGAUAUGGCAAGCAGAUACUGUAUUUUCAUC